AUGACUUUAGGAGAGUUAAGUGGGCCAGCCAGAGGACUUGUGCUUCGUUUUAGUUUUUUUAGGUCAAUUGGGGUUUAUAUCCUGCUUAGAAAGAUGAUGGUGCCCUGA
rnacentral:rRNA from 1 species